GUUGCAUUCAUCUUGCCAUUAAUUUUCACAAAAUUCCCCCUGCCCUUAGAGCUCACACACCCUCAAAAUAUCAGUGAGCCACCACCAUGCUUCACAGUGGGGAUGGUAUUAUUUUCAAUAUAGGCCUUGUUGAUCUCUCUCCAAACAUAGCGCUUACGGUUGACCAUGAAGCUCUAUUUUGGUCUCGUCACUCCAAAUUAGUGUGCCAGAAGCUCUGAGACAUGUCAAGGUGUUGUCUGGCAUAUUGUAACCGGGCUUUUUGUGUGG